GAUGAAGAACGUAGCGAAAUGCGAUAAGUAGUGUGAAUUGCAGAAUCCCGUGAACCAUCGAGUCUUUGAACGCAAGUUGCGCCCGAAGCCAUUAGGCCGAGGGCACGCCUGCCUGGGCGUCACACGUCGUUGCCCCCCCAUCUACUCCUUCGGGAUUGCGGGGGGCGGAUGAUGGCCUCCCGUGCGCCUCGCCGCGCGGUUGGCAUAAAUGCCAAGUCCUCGGCGACGCACGCCACGACAAUCGGUGGUUGCGAAACCUCGGUUGCCCGUCGUGUGCGGUCGUCGCGCAUCGAGGGCUCGAAAAAAUUGCCGGGUUCCGGCUCGGCUUUCAACGCGACCCCAGGUCAGGCGGGGUUACCCGCUGAAUUUAAGCAUAUCAAUAAGCGGAGGA
rnacentral:misc_RNA from 1 species